UCCUCUCUCUGAAAGUAAUCAUGGUCUUUUGUGCCCUGGUCAUUGAUACUGCAGAGAAAGUAUGUUGAAAGCCUUUCCUGAUGUCUGGAAGGUCUGCUCCUGUCCUUGCCAAACGCUGCUAUUUUCAGCACA
ensembl:snoRNA Gm25853 small nucleolar RNA SNORA71